GCGGAUAUAGCUUGAAGCAGGUGAAGCGCACACAUUAGAUUGUGUGAGUCGCGGGUUCAACUCCCGCUAUCCGUA
rnacentral:tRNA from 1 species